CCUACGGGAGGCAGCAGUGAGGAAUAUUGGUCAAUGGGCGUAAGCCUGAACCAGCCAAGUCGCGUGAGGGAUGAAGGUUCUAUGGAUCGUAAACCUCUUUUUUAAGGGAAUAAAGUGCGGGACGUGUCUCGUUCUGCAUGUACCUUAUGAAUAAGGAUCGGCUAACUCCGUGCCAGCAGCCGCGGUAAUACGGAGGAUGCGAGCGUUAUCCGGAUUUAUUGGGUUUAAGGGGUGCGUAGGCGGAAUGCCAAGUCAGCGGGAAAAUCGCGGGGCUAAACCUCGACGCGCCGUGGAAACUGGGGUUCUUGAGUGGGCGAGAGGUAUGUGGAAUGCGUGGUGUAGCGGUGAAAUGCAUAGAUAUCACGCAGAACUCCGAUUGCGAAGGCAGCAUACCGGCGCCCAACUGACGCUGAAGCACGAAAGCGUGGGUAUCGAACAGGAUUAGAUACCCUUGUAGUC
rnacentral:rRNA from 1 species